CGGCCGGCCCGAGCAGGUGGCGGCGCCGUGUUCCGGAAGCCCGGCCCCGAGCGCUGUGAGGGGCACCUGGGGACGCUCUGCGAGUCUCUGUCCCAGCCCUGAGCUCGGUGGAAGACUGCAGAGUCCUGGGCCCGCGAGAAUUCCGGCAGAAUCAGGCCUCUGGACGCUCCAGGGACGUGACCUGGUUCCCUGGCUGUUGUUACGAAGCAGCAGUUCAGAUCCGUGGAACUUCUCGACUGUUCUGCCUCACGGUGACUUGAUCCAUCAACUGAACAGUACAGCAUCUGAUUAAAUUUUAGAGAGAUUGUGCAUCCAGCUCUGGCUGUGGACCUGUGGCGGCGUGAUGACCUGGGAUCAUCAGAUAGCAGAAGGCCAUUCCCUUUGGUGCCUCUCAUUCCCUGUGUGCUGGCCAGCACAUCAUUAGGCCUGAUGGAAGGCUCUGCCAGGCCCUUCCCCACCGAGGGCCUCAUCAAGCUUCCUUGACAGUAGCUGUCCUAAUGUUGUGAGGUGGUGUCUCGGUGUAUCCUGCGCUGUUUUGAUGGAGGAACGUCAGAUCAUGCUUCCUCUGCUGAACACCCUCUCAAGAGUAAAAGCCUCGGCCUUCCUGGUGGCCUCCUAAGCCUGAAGGAUCCCUGGUGACCUCUGGCCUCAUCUCUGGAUGAUGCCCUGUGCUUCCCCCAAGCUGUUUCCCAAGCCCACCUAGCAGCCCCAAUGUCCUUCUGUAUCUGCCUGAUGUCUCCGCUUCACCAGGACUUCAUAUAAGGUCAGAUCUUCAGAAAGGACUUCUCUGUUAUUCCUACAAAAUCAGCAGUCCCUCCUCUGUCUCUGAAUCCCGCACUUGGUCUGCAGUCUUUCUUCUGUGCUGUAUAUGGAGCAUCCAGAAAUGCCACCUGGCACAUAGUAGGUGCUUAGUAUUUGCCAAAUGAAUGAAAGAAAACUAUACUGAAUUAUAAACUAAGCCUUCUGAGAGUUAGUGACAUUUUUAGAAAUGAAUUUAUAGCCAGAUUCUUACCAAAUCCUAUUCUAUUUGUUUUCAGUGUAUUCUCCUGGGUUUCCUGGUAUAUAAUCAUAUCAUCUACAAAUAAUGACAAUUUUCCUAUACUCCCCCCUUCUUUCCCUUUUCAUAUUUUCCAGUAUAAUAAAUAACAGGGGUGAUAGUAACAGCUUUAUCUUGCUUCUGACCUUCCAUGAAGUGUCUCUGAAAUUCCACCAUGGAUGGCAAGUUAAUGUUGGCUUUAGAUCUGAGGGAUGAAUUUUGUCGUGCUGAGGAAGUACCACAGGCUCCUGUUUUACUUAGGACGUUUUGGUUACAGCCAAGGAAGAAUGAAGGGUUAAUGCUCGUCAGCCCUCUUCAGCACUUACUGGGUAUUAAGCUUUCUCUUUGGCUCCUUAGUGUGGGCAUUAUGUGGAUGGGUUUCCUACAACUGGACCGUCCUUGUGUCUUUACCUUUUAAACCCAGAUGUGUCCCUGCGAUGUGCAGCGAGCCCUUGUGGGCAGGGCCAGCCAUGUCCCCUCGUCCCUUCGUCCCCUCAGGAGGCUUGCUGGGAACCGAGGCUGGCCGCGGUGGCAAGCUUCCCGGCGAGCCACUCAGGAUGGCUUAUUGUUUCUGAAUUAAACACACGAAGAAUGAGAUUCAAUUAGAGGUAGCAUAAUGUAAACCGAGAUGGAUUUAUAUUUAGCAUGGCAGAGA